AGUCGAACGAUGAAGCCCAGCUUGCUGGGUGGAUUAGUGGCGAACGGGUGAGAAACACGUGAGUAACCUGCCCUUAACUCUGGGAUAAGCCUGGGAAACUAGGUCUAAUACCGGAUAGGAGUGCCUACCGCAUGGUGGGUGUUGGAAAGAUUUAUCGGUUUUGGAUGGACUCGCGGCCUAUCAGCUUGUUGGUGAGGUAAUGGCUCACCAAGGCGACGACGGGUAGCCGGCCUGAGAGGGUGACCGGCCACACUGGGACUGAGACACGGCCCAGACUCCUACGGGAGGCAGCAGUGGGGAAUAUUGCACAAUGGGCGAAAGCCUGAUGCAGCGACGCCGCGUGAGGGAUGACGGCCUUCGGGUUGUAAACCUCUUUCAGUAGGGAAGAAGCGAAAGUGACGGUACCUGCAGAAGAAGCACCGGCUAACUACGUGCCAGCAGCCGCGGUAAUACGUAGGGUGCGAGCGUUAUCCGGAAUUAUUGGGCGUAAAGAGCUCGUAGGCGGUUUGUCGCGUCUGUCGUGAAAGUCCGGGGCUUAACCCCGGAUCUGCGGUGGGUACGGGCAGACUAGAGUGCAGUAGGGGAGACUGGAAUUCCUGGUGUAGCGGUGGAAUGCGCAGAUAUCAGGAGGAACACCGAUGGCGAAGGCAGGUCUCUGGGCUGUAACUGACGCUGAGGAGCGAAAGCAUGGGGAGCGAACAGGAUUAGAUACCCUGGUAGUCCAUGCCGUAAACGUUGGGCACUAGGUGUGGGGACCAUUCCACGGUUUCCGCGCCGCAGCUAACGCAUUAAGUGCCCCGCCUGGGGAGUACGGCCGCGAGGCUAAACUCAAGGAAUUGACGGGGGCCCGCACAAGCGGCGGAACAUGCGGAUUAAUUCGAUGCAACGCGAAAACCUUACCAAGGCUUGACAUGUUCUCAUCGCCGUAUAGAUACGGUUGCCCCUUUGGGGCGGGUUCACAGGUGGUGCAUGGGUUGUCGUCAGCUCGUGUCCUGACAUGUUGGGUUAAGUCCCGCAACGAGCGCACCCUCGCUUCCAUGUUGCCAGCCACGUAAUGGGUGGGGGACUUCAUGGGAGACUGCCUGCGAUCAACUCCGACGCAAGGGGGAGGACG
rnacentral:rRNA from 1 species